GCCCUUGUUUACUUCGCGAAUUUGGGAGGUGCCAAAUUACUGUAGCAACACUGUAGCGUUUCGUUUGUAUUUGUGAAUUAUUGUCCAAAUAUUGACUAAUUAGGCUCAAAAGAUUCGUCUCGCAAAGUACAACAAAACUGUGCAAAUAGUUUUUGAUUUCGUCUACAUUUAGUACUCCAUACAUGUACCGCAAGUUUGAUGUGAUAGGGAAUCUUCUUUUUGCAUAGUGUCAAAGUUGGGAGUUUGGAGGUAAGAGAACAAGGGCUA
rnacentral:lncRNA from 1 species